rnacentral:rRNA from 1 species
GACGUAGGUGGCGAACGUUAUCCGGAAUUAUUGGGCGUAAAGGGUGCGUAGGUGGCCUGACAAGUUAUCAGUGGUAAAUCGAGGCUCAACCUCGUGGAAACUGGUAAUACUGUCCGGCUCGAGUACAGGAGAGGUUAACGGAACUCUAUGUGGAGCGGUAAAAUGCACAGAUAUAUAGAAGAACAUCAAUAACGGCGAAGGCAGUUAACUAUUCUGUUACUGACACUGAGGCACGAAAAGCGUGGGGAGCAAAACGG